rnacentral:lncRNA from 1 species
UCCCCUCCCCUUUUUCGCCUGUGUGUGCGUGUGCGCGCAUGUGUGACAGUGUGUGUUCUUAAUUAUACCUACCUCACUCUUUGAUGAUCAUCUCCAACUAGAAUCAAACCCAUUUCUUGUUCAAUUGGCAGAGAUGAUACUGUCACGACAAUUGCUUAGUGGCGGUGUCAUAAUUUGCUUGCCCAAGUUUUGAGUAGUCACCUCAUCGGCAAUGGUAGAGAGUUUGAUGUUCUAAUUUCUUUCGAUCUUCAACGUAUUUUUAAAAAAUUUUACACCUACGUAAGGGGUUAAUCUUCACUGACCAGAAUCAAACCCAUUUCCUGUUCAAUUAGUGUUCAAUGAGCCAGGAUGAUAUCAUCACAACAAUUGCUUGAUGGUAGUGCCCUAAUUUGCCUGUCCAAGUUUUGAGUGGUCAGCAACGACAGCAAACUUAAAUUCAUUUGGUAUCUAGAGAUUGAUCCUUGCACAAUUCUACAAUCUACAAUCUUUUCUGAUGAAAUGGAUGCAAAACUUUUAGACAAAACCUAACUUUUGAAAAAUUAUAUUCUAAACAGGUGCACCACAUCAGUAGUGCAUCAUAGGAACAAUUUGUGACGAGGUGAGCGGAUGACAAUUCGAGACAAGCCACAGGAUGAAUAAGGCCCACAGGUAUGAGAAAUCUGAUUGGCAUGGUACAUCGAUAAUACGGUGCAUUUGAUGUAGUAUUUAAUUUCUCUUGGUUCAGAGCUCAGAUAAGAGGCCCAAUUGUACCCCUAUAGCACACGCACCAUGAUGCACCACAUCAAUCACAACUGCACGAUUUUGUAGAUCCUAUUUAUUCAUCAAGUGCUACAUCAAUAUAGAAACAAACUAGUAUGAUUGACAUGGUGCACCAUCAUGUGCUUCGUGUGAUGUAAUUUCUGGGGUUGUAGACCCGUGACCUAAUUCGGUGGUUCCACUCGCAGCCUUUUGUGUGAGAGAGAGUAGCUCGGAAGUUGGAUCGAGCUUGCAGGAUGCCUUCCAGCCUUUGUGGGCUCACGGCUAUGUUGGAACAUAACACCGAAGUGUUUGAAGCAAUGCUCCAAAAAGCUUCUCUCAGUGCUCUCAACCUCUUUCCCAAGUUCCCAACUUCCCCUCACUCUCAGAAAACGGAUAUUUCAGAAUUAAAAAAAAAAAAAAUCUACAAGGCCACGCUAACCAAACUUGGGAAAUCAAAACACAAAAAAAAAAGGUUGAAGUCUUUAAAAUGAGGUUUUACUGAACAAAAAUCGAAAUUACAAAUAGUUAACAGUGAAAAAGCCAAAGAUCCUUCUUCUUGUGAUCUUGGCUUCCUUCAAGGGUUCGAGCUCGACGUCGCCGGGCCGCUAGGAUGGACCUUCGUUUUGGAGCCCUUCUUCUCUCCUUUGGCCUUCUCGCCUUCCUUUGUCCUCAACUUUUCCUUGUAGUGCUCUUGUUCGACAUGGAGGCGGGCAUAGCUAGCUCCCAUGGACAUCAUCGUUACAGAGAUAGUAUUCGAGGCCUUCUUUUUCCGAGGUUGAGGCUUUGAGGGUUCUGUGGUGGAAUUGGUCAUGGGUUUUUGGUAUUUAUAGGAGUUGGUGGAGAUGUUUUAUUAUUGUUUUCUUCUAUUUUUAAGAAGGCUUUAGGUGGCCAAAGCAACAACUGUGAGUGCCCUUCAAGCUUGCCAUCCACAUCCACAAAUAUCUGUGGGCAAGCCGCGGAUUCAGGUAAUG